CUGACAGCCGCGUAUUGUCGAGCUGGACACUCCAGAAGUAGAGAUAAGUAACAGUGCACUGCGUGCAGGGCUGCUGACAGUAACGACGUCCAUAAGGGGCCGCUGAAGGAAUUGUACAACGAUAAGUGUUUACGCAGCCUAUUAUGUUAAGGAGCAAUAAUGGCGAGAGUUAUUAAUCUGGCAGCUUUAUUAUGCCUUCCACGUCGACGAGGCGCUGCGGAACUGCGGACUACAAGGAGGUAAGGAAACGAAGACAGCGAUCUGUCGUUUGACGAGACUUCUAAUUCCACCCGUCACAUAACUCUGCGAAAGCACGAGCCACUGUUGGUAUUCAGUUCCAAGAGAUAAGACGGUGAUGAGACUAACAGCGCUGCAGUAAAUCAACAUGGUCACGUGCCUAGCUGGAGUAACGUCAACUGGAAGGUGGAGCCACAGUAACCUAGAAGGCGUGUGCAGCUUCUAGGCUGUACCCCGAAGACGCGGGACUAGAAGGCGGCGGAGCAGUCACCACUCCGCUGAGAUGGAACCCUGCAAAGAGUAACAAAAGAGAACUGUAAGGAAGGCGGCGCCAACACACGUUCUACUGGCAAUAUGAAAUCUACGCCAACCCAGGUGACAUUACACGGGCUGCUGCAAGUGGGUAGCACGCCGCUGAGACAGCACAAGAAAUCACCGUUUACAUCACCGCACGAAGCCGGUGCAGGCAGGUCUACAUCUGGAAAACAAGGCUACUACACGCCCCAACAAACUCAAAACCAUCUGCGUAACGGACAACAAAGAUUUGGUUAGCGACACAAAAUUAAACGUCAUUCUGUAAAUCGUCAUCAUCCUAUUCAGCGGGGGUUACUCCGGAACCGAUAGAGCUUACAGCUAACAGGCCCUUGUGCAGCAGAAUAAAAAGUAACUCGUUUAUACCUGGAGCUGUUUCCUACGACCAUUACUAUUGGCCUAUCUACAAUAUCACGGAAUAUGCUAUUAACCAUUCCAAUGCCAAUACCGAGGUAUCUCGUUUGGACACAACCACUACCACCACCACCACCACCCCAUGCAUUUAUACGUUUAAUACUCAUAUUUAACAGUGUCAGUGAAAAUGAACUUGCACUAUCCUUUUUAUAAUUUAUAAACAAGUGUUUGUGGAUUUUCGACAAUGAAAACUUUGAAUUGUCAUGAAAACGGACAAACAAAGGAACGCUAUAAUUUUUUUUAAAAGCGGGCACAGAAAUAUUACUACAUACGCGCCGCGACAAUUCUGUUUCUUUGUCGUGCUAUCAUGUUGUGACAACUUCUUCACGAAAUUUUCCCAAGACUCGUCCCAUAAGGAAAAUCCACUCAGCUCGAACGCCCCUGGCUUGUGAUCCCGAGGCAUACGGUUCGAAACUCGGCAGAAGCAAAAUCCUGGCAGGUGAGCAAGUUCCUUCUGAUCGUAUGCAGGAAGAGGAAUCUACGCACAACCCGAGCUGCUGCGCUAUGCGUUUCGCACAACAGCCUGACACUCCUGUAAACUAGGAUUCCGAGACGCUUAGAGCAGAGGCCUUCUCGACAACCUGCUAGCCUCUGAGAAAGUCAAGAAAGUACCCAUCUUUCAUGGGACUCAAAGGCUCAUUACCUUUUUCACAACAGCCCGCAACCAGACUAUCCUGAAUCACACCCUCACAAUGGACUUUCUUAAGAUCAGUUUUACUAAUAUCCUCCCAUCUGCGUGUAGAUCUCAAAACUGGUCUCCUCCCUUCAGCUUCGACAAAAACGUUGGACUCCCCAGUAACGACUGGAUAGGAAGCUAGGCAGACCUCAGGACCCAUCUGGACACAUUGAUGACGAGAGGACGAUCUCUGCUCCACCCCGUAGCAAACAAUGCAGCAGCUAAUGCCAUGUCUCUCUCUCUCUCUCUCUCUCAAGGAAAAAAGUUACUGCAUUCCAAAGCCAUGUACUCAGAAGUUCGCAUGUCUGCCGUGCUGGUAUUGUGGAUGACAGAAAGUAAAAAUGCAAAGAUGUUUGUCUUGCAGUUCAUAACAACUUUCACUAAAAUCAGUCUAUUAGUGUUUUAUACUACCAACGCCUGCAACAGAAAGAGGGAACACACAGCAUACGAAUUACGUUUUGCUAACAGCGCUCCUAACAGAAAAUAUUUUCCCUCAUUUCCUUCUUACGUGAUCCGAUAAAAAUAAUUAUUUCACAGUCGUAACAAACGAAGUUGUUCUGACAUCGGCAAAGGAGAAGGGUGUAUCAGGGUUACAGAGGCAGUUUCCGUUUUGUGUAAGCACCAUUUGUCAUUUAUGAGAUCAAAAAUGCAAUGACUCUUGCACACAGAGAGCGACGUAUAAAA